rnacentral:rRNA from 1 species
UACGAGGGGGGCGAGCGUUGUUCGGAAUUAUUGGGCGUAAAGGGUGCGUAGGCGGUUUGGUAAGUCUUAUGUGAAAUCUAUGGGCUCAACUCAUAGUCUGCAUGAGAAACUGCCGGGCUUGAGUAUGGGAGAGGUGACUGGAAUUCCUGGUGUAGCAGUGAAAUGCGUAGAUAUCAGGAGGAAUACCGAUGGCGAAGGCAGGUCUCUGGGCGUGACACUGACGCUCAUGCACGAAAGCGUGGGAGCAAACAGG